rnacentral:rRNA from 1 species
GUAGGUGGCAAGCGUUGUCCGGAAUUAUUGGGCGUAAAGCGCGCGCAGGCGGUCCUUUAAGUCUGAUGUGAAGGCCCGCGGCUCAACCGUGGAGGGUCAUUGGAAACUGGGGGACUUGAGUACAGAAGAGGAAAGCGGAAUUCCAAGUGUAGCGGUGAAAUGCGUAGAGAUUUGGAGGAACACCAGUGGCGAAGGCGGCUUUCUGGUCUGUAACUGACGCUGAGGCGCGAAAGCGUGGGGAGCAAACAGGAUUAGAUACCCUGGUAGUCCACGCCGUAAACGAUGAGUGCUAAGUGUUAGGGGGUUUCCCGCCCCCUUAGUGCUGCAGCUAACGCAUUAAGCACUCCGCCUGGGGAGUACGGCCGCAAGGCUG